CAAAAUGAUAUGAUGGCAAGUGUCGUCACUAGAAAAAUCCUAUUUAAAAAAAUAAUAAUUAAAAGACGAAAAAAAAUGAAAUAAAAAACAAAAAGAGAAAAAAAAUACAAAUUCACAAAAAACUGUAAAAAACUGCAAAUUCAUAAAACACUACUCAAAACAGAUAACUGCACUACUCAAAAGUGGCGUUAAAAUUAAAGCCCAUAUUAACUGCUCGAAAAAACCGCUUCUCUCACUAAUAAUCUUCACUCUCUCUGGGUCGAAACGGAGAUUUCUCUCCACUGGUUCAAAAUAUCCAAGAAUUUUGUGUUGUGGAGAAAACAAUUUCCAGUGACAAAACAAGGAAAUUAAGAAGAGAUCAAGUGAGAGCAGACUACUACUCCACCAUAUUCUUCUCGUGCGUUUGUUUGAACGGCUAAUUAUAUGAUGAUCUCGUUUCCAGAGACUUUGUUGGUGACAACAGGUCAAGCAUUUUUUAUGCAAAGCUGGAAUUGCUUUGACCAAGAACUUUGUGGAACUUGUGUCAUGGAAUUAUGGCAAAAUGAUAUGAGAACUUCCUUUUUAUUCUCCACGUCAGGGAUGGUGAAAGGAUAUUGGAUGCUAUAUUGCAGAUUUGGUACUCAAAAUUGAUACUACAUCAUAUCAGUCAGGAGUCAGGGCAUCACGUACAGGAGGUCAGUGGAGAAGAAUUAGGUCAACUCAUUGCUAGAAUUGUUGGAAAAAGAAGCAGCGUUUUGUGAUUAUCAUAAGAUCUAAUCUCUGGAUUAAAUGGGUAGUCUAUCUAUUAAAAUUUAUAUUUCCGCAGUAAUUGUUUUCGUGGGUAACUCUAUUGCCUUUUUGCUGAGAGUUCAGAGGUUUUUGCAAGAUUUUGCUCAUAAUACUGAGCAUAUAUCUAUUGUAAAUACACUGACCAUAUAUCUAUUGUAAAUACUCCUGCCAAGAUAGGUAUAUCAGAUACUAGAACAGUAGUUGAUGAUGACCCAAAUGUACAACCAUCCGGAAACAAAAUCAAGAGAAUAUUGAAGAAGGAGAAGAAUA